UAAGGUAACCCUUUCAAGCCAGCUGCAACCAAUGUAAUACGCCAAAAAUGUUGUUAUAAUUUGAAUUAGCCUUGAACGGAAAUUUAAAUUUCAAGUAAAAAAAUAUACGUGGCGUGUUAUGGAAUGAAUUUAAAUCCCAACUUAAAUUCAUAUUUUCGAUUAUUUAUAGCACCAACGAUUCCUUGAAGACAUUAAGAAACCAGAUUUGUGACCAUGAAAUACAUAUUUUUUAAAUUUCUCUAAAUUUUCUACAUUUUAGUGAUGAAUCUUGUGUAAACAUUCGCAAUAUGGGGACCAAUUGAUUGAAGUCAAAAUACUUGUAAUGAAAAAUGAUCCGGCCAUAGUCCAUAGUAAACAGCAUUAGCGAACAUUCCAAACAACCAACUUGGUAGCAUAUGGAACACUGUAUACCAGUUUUUCCUGAGUAUGGGUGGCGAUCCACCAGUGGUUGUAGUCUACAGGACGAUGUAUAUAAACCGGGGUGUUAAGAGCGGAAAUCUUGGGGAAGAGAUUGACAAACUACAAGCUAAUAUGUCGAUAAAAUCACUGAAAAAUACUUUAAAUCGCAAACAAUUAAUGACUGCCUAAUGGUGGAUGGGAAGUAUCCUCGCCUGGUUUGAUGAAGCUAUAUAAUAUAAUAAUAUUCCUAAUAUGGUUGGAACUAAUGCUAAUUUUAAAAUGUAAAAAAAAUAGAAAACAAAAGCAUUGAAAUAAAUUGUUUGUACUUUUUUCCUCUAUUGCCAACCAGUA